GACGAAGGGGGCUAGCGUUGUUCGGAAUUACUGGGCGUAAAGCGCGUGUAGGCGGUUAUCCAAGUCGGGUGUGAAAGCCUUGAGCUCAACUCAAGAAAUGCACUCGGUACUGGGUGACUAGAGGACCGGAGAGGAUAGUGGAAUUCCCAGUGUAGUGGUGAAAUGCGUAGAUAUCUGGAGGAACACCGGUGGCGAAGGCGGCGUGCUGGACCUUUUCGUGACGC
rnacentral:rRNA from 1 species